CAUGGCGGCCGCGGGAAUUCGAUUAUCGUAUUACCGCGGCUGCUGGCACGUAGUUAGCCGUGACUUUCUGGUUGAUUACCGUCAAAUAAAGGCCAGUUACUACCUCUAUCCUUCUUCACCAACAACAGAGCUUUACGAUCCGAAAACCUUCUUCACUCACGCGGCGUUGCUCCAUCAGACUUGCGUCCAUUGUGGAAGAUUCCCUACUGCUGCCUCCCGUAGGAGUUUGGGCCGUGUCUCAGUCCCAAUGUGGCCGAUCAGUCUCUCAACUCGGCUAUGCAUCAUCGCCUUGGUAAGCCUUUACCUUACCAACUAGCUAAUGCACCGCGGGGCCAUCCCAUAGCGACAGCUUACGCCGCCUUUUAAAAGCUGAUCAUGCGAUCUGCUUUCUUAUCCGGUAUUAGCACCUGUUUCCAAUCACUAGUGAAUUCGCGGCCGCCUGCAGGUCGACCAUAUGG
rnacentral:rRNA from 1 species